AGAAGUCCUCAGGACGGAGCAGAGGUGGCCGGCGGGCCCGGCUGACUGCGCCUCUGCUUUCUUUCCAUAACCUUUUCUUUCGGACUCGAAUCACGGCUGCUGCGAAGGGUCUAGUUCCGGACACUAGGGUGCCCGAACGCGCUGAUGCCCCGAGUGCUCGCAGGGCUUCCCGCUAACCAUGCUGCCGCCGCCGCGGCCCGCAGCUGCCUUGGCGCUGCCUGUGCUCCUGCUACUGCUGGUGGUGCUGACGCCGCCCCCGACCGGCGCAAGGCCAUCCCCAGGCCCAGAUUACCUGCGGCGCGGCUGGAUGCGGCUGCUAGCGGAGGGCGAGGGCUGCGCUCCCUGCCGGCCAGAAGAGUGCGCCGCGCCGCGGGGCUGCCUGGCGGGCAGGGUGCGCGACGCGUGCGGCUGCUGCUGGGAAUGCGCCAACCUCGAGGGCCAGCUCUGCGACCUGGACCCCAGUGCUCACUUCUACGGGCACUGCGGCGAGCAGCUUGAGUGCCGGCUGGACACAGGCGGCGACCUGAGCCGCGGAGAGGUGCCGGAACCUCUGUGUGCCUGUCGUUCGCAGAGUCCGCUCUGCGGGUCCGACGGUCACACCUACUCCCAGAUCUGCCGCCUGCAGGAGGCGGCCCGCGCUCGGCCCGAUGCCAACCUCACUGUGGCACACCCGGGGCCCUGCGAAUCGGGGCCCCAGAUCGUGUCACAUCCAUAUGACACUUGGAAUGUGACAGGGCAGGAUGUGAUCUUUGGCUGUGAAGUGUUUGCCUACCCCAUGGCCUCCAUCGAGUGGAGGAAGGAUGGCUUGGACAUCCAGCUGCCAGGGGAUGACCCCCACAUCUCUGUGCAGUUUAGGGGUGGACCCCAGAGGUUUGAGGUGACUGGCUGGCUGCAGAUCCAGGCUGUGCGUCCCAGUGAUGAGGGCACUUACCGCUGCCUUGGCCGCAAUGCCCUGGGUCAAGUGGAGGCCCCUGCUAGCUUGACAGUGCUCACACCUGACCAGCUGAACUCUACAGGCAUCCCCCAGCUGCGAUCACUAAACCUGGUUCCUGAGGAGGAGGCUGAGAGUGAAGAGAAUGACGAUUACUACUAGGUCCAGAGCUCUGGCCCAUGGGGGUGGGUGAGCGGCUAUAGUGUUCAUCCCUGCUCUUGAAAAGACCUGGAAAGGGGAGCAGGGUCCCUUCAUCGACUGCUUUCAUGCUGUCAGUAGGGAUGAUCAUGGGAGGCCUAUUUGACUCCAAGGUAGCAGUGUGGUAGGAUAGAGACAAAAGCUGGAGGAGGGUAGGGAGAGAAGCUGAGACCAGGACCGGUGGGGUACAAAGGGGCCCAUGCAGGAGAUGCCCUGGCCAGUAGGACCUCCAACAGGUUGUUUCCCAGGCUGGGGUGGGGGCCUGAGCAGACACAGAGGUGCAGGCACCAGGAUUCUCCACUUCUUCCAGCCCUGCUGGGCCACAGUUCUAACUGCCCUUCCUCCCAGGCCCUGGUUCUUGCUAUUUCCUGGUCCCCAACGUUUAUCUAGCUUGUUUGCCCUUUCCCCAAACUCAUCUUCCAGAACUUUUCCCUCUCUCCUAAGCCCCAGUUGCACCUACUAACUGCAGUCCCUUUUGCUGUCUGCCGUCUUUUGUACAAGAGAGAGAACAGCGGAGCAUGACUUAGUUCAGUGCAGAGAGAUAGGUGAGGCCAGCUCGAGAUCUUAUACCACUCUGUAUUGGACAAAGGCUAGCACAGGGCUAGGCACCAAUAAAGAUUUCUAAUGAUGCACAGACAGUUUAUGCAGAUGUGCACAUGAAAACUGAAUAUCCCUGGGAGGCCUCCCACACUAACAGAACUCUGGCUUCCAGAAGCUGCAGGGCCUGCUCUCUAAGCACAUGCCUGCCAGAUGUACAAAGAGAAAGUUUGAACUUGGGCCUAUCCCGCCUUUGAGGGAGGGAGGCUGGAGCCAUAUGGCUGGAGGGAAGUUAUCUUCCCCGUCUGCCCUCCAUUGGGGCUGAUAUACAUUAUCUGCUUCUUUGCUCAUCUUAUUCCAAACCCUUCCCCAGGCCAGAAUGGGGAACAGGGCUAUGUGGGUUGGCCCCCAAAAUGAAAGCAUAAACUGGAUAGAGGAGGGUGGAAGUUUGGUCACCUGUGUGGUCCAUACCCUUCCCCAGCUCCCAUAGGAAUCUACCCAUUUCCUGCAGAAGCCAGAGUCAUGGUAAGGCUGUUUCCUAUCUGCCCCAAUUGUGACCUGUCCUCUCUGGCUUGGGGUCCCCAAAUCUCUUUCCUCAUUCUCCUUACCUAUCCCAGGGACACUGGUGAGACUCAAUGUUUAUUUAAUGAUUGGAGGAAAGAAUGAAAGCAUAAGUCAGCGAGGCCGAGGCGCUGUGUGUAGAUGGCGACAGCCUCCUACACGCCAGGGCUCCACCCGGAUCCUGGCGCCACUGCGGGAGGGCCUGCCCUUGGCUCAGCGUCAGAGUUUGUCCUCUGGGGCCCAACGCAGGGAGCCUGGCCACAUGGGAGGGGUGUGGUCCGGAACUCCAACCCCAGGUCCUGCUUGGCCGCCCCUCCCGCGGCUACGCACUACUCCAUCUACUGCUGGCUUGCCCCGGGUCCUUAAGCCAGCGACAGUUUUUAUUGCCGAACCCAGGCUGGAAGCGGGCGGCCCUAGGAGCCGCGCACAACAGCGCAAGCGGGCUGGAUACCGGGAGCCGAUUCCAGGGCGCCCACAGAAGCAGAAUCAGAGGGGUUGCUCACACCCGAGAUGUGAGGUUCCAGGAGCGCCGACCCAGAGUUGCCAGGCCUGAAGGCGGGAGAGGCUCAGUCGCACCCUACAUUUCCCACCUCCAAGAUUUUAAGUAUAGUUCGCUUGAAAUCCCUGGAAUGCGCUUUCUUCUGGCUCCUACCCGGAGAUCCGGAGUCCGGACAAACCGGGGCAGGAAGGGUCCGUCGGACCAGCUCCUCCCAAGCCGAGGCUUCCAGGUCUCGGCCGGGCUCUUCUCCCUGCUUUUAGCUGAGCCGGGCUGGGCGUACCUCUCUCCUCCAUCUAGAGCAGGGUGUGAAGAGGAAGCCAGAGGGGGCUGUCUGAAAAUGACCCUGACCCCCUCCUCGGGCUGUCGUGAGGAGGAGGGCCGCUUCGCCCGGCUGCUCGUCACCGCGAAGGCUCCAAAGAAGUGUUGCGCAGCCGUGCUGGUAUAACUGAGGGUGUCCUGGCGAAGCCCAGCCCCUGGCGCCCUGGUGACCGGGGGGGUCGAUGUGCGGACUGGGCAGAACUGGAGCCCGAAGCUGGAGAGCGCCCCUCAAAAAGAAGCCUGGAAGCCCGAGAGAUGAACCCGACUCAGAGAGGGCCAAGACUGCAGACCUUGGGGACCGAGGACACCCUCACCACGCUGGUGGGGGCUGGGGGGAUGGCGCGGGCGGUGGCGUGCGGGGAAGCGCCUGGGGAACACCUGGCUCUGCAAGUUUUGUGCCUUAGCGGAAAGAGGCGACAUCUCUGGCAAGUUGGGAGUACAGGAAGUAGCGAAGGAGUGCCAUCUGGUGGAUCCUUCUGGUAGUGACACUCAGACCUGGGCCAGGGGCCUUGAGACAAUUUACUUGACUGGAAAAAUCUGAAUAAAAAAAAGAUGCUUCAA